CCCAAAUUCAUGCAGUUAGGACCUGGCAGAGCUGCGCUUUGAACCCAGGCUGCCUGGCUCUAGAGUGUGUGCACGAAACUUCACUGCCAUAUGAACAAAACUGCAGGACAUAUGUUCUCAAAGCAAAUAAGCCUCCCAGAGAGGCUUUUCCUGAUGGCUUCAAGGACCUGCCCUAGCCUGGUCUGACUUCCCAGAGGGGAUCCAGUCCCAACAUUGGCCCUAUCUUUAGACCACAUUUCCAUCCCAUUCUCAGUGAAAACCCUGAGUCAUGACAGAAGACAACCAAUGCUGGAGAGAGGAGGUUUCAGGAGGACAACAGUCAGAAUACCCCCAAGACGUCCUUCUUUCCCUAAGGUCUCAAAAUCCUUGCCUCAAGAAGUUAUUCCUGAAGUCUAGCUUGAAUUCCUCCAGAUAGAGUUUAAACCAGACAAAC